rnacentral:rRNA from 1 species
CCAGUAAACGGCGGCCGUAACUAUAACGGUCCUAAGGUAGCGAAAUUCCUUGUCGGGUAAGUUCCGACCUGCACGAAUGGCGUAAUGAUGGCCAGGCUGUCUCCACCCGAGACUCAGUGAAAUUGAACUCGCUGUGAAGAUGCAGUGUACCCGCGGCAAGACGGAAAGACCCCGUGAACCUUUACUAUAGCUUGACACUGAACAUUGAGCCUUGAUGUGUAGGAUAGGUGGGAGGCUUUGAAGUGUGGACGCCAGUCUGCAUGGAGCCAACCUUGAAAUACCACCCUUUAACGUUUGAUGUUCUAACCUAGGCCCAUAAACUGGGUCGGGGACCGUGUCUGGUGGGUAGUUUGACUGGGGCGGUCUCCUCCUAAAGAGUAACGGAGGAGCACGAAGGUUGGCUAAGCAUGGUCGGACAUCAUGCGGUUAGUGCAAAGGCAUAAGCCAGCUUGACUGCGAGAGUGACGGCUCGAGCAGGUACGAAAGUAGGUCUUAGUGAUCCGGUGGUUCUGAAUGGAAGGGCCAUCGCUCAACGGAUAAAAGGUACUCCGGGGAUAACAGGCUGAUACCGCCCAAGAGUUCAUAUCGACGGCGGUGUUUGGCACCUCGAUGUCGGCUCAUCACAUCCUGGGGCUGAAGUAGGUCCCAAGGGUAUGGCUGUUCGCCAUUUAAAGUGGUACGCGAGCUGGGUUUAGAACGUCGUGAGACAGUUCGGUCCCUAUCUGCCGUGGGCGUUGGAAGAUUGAGAGGGGUUGCUCCUAGUACGAGAGGACCGGAGUGAACGCACCACUGGUGUUCGGGUUGUCAUGCCAAUGGCAUUGCCCGGUAGCUAAGUGCGGAAGAGAUAACCGCUGAAAGCAUCUAAGCGGGAAACUUGCCUCGAGAUGAGUCUUCCCUGUCGCUUUAAGUGACCUAAAGGAACGUUUAAGACUAAGACGUUGAUAGGCUGGGUGUGUAAGCGUAGCGAUACGUUGAGCUAACCAGUACUAAUGAACCGUGAGGCUUAACCUG